UUAAUUGAAGCCAAAGUAGCGGCAUAUCACUGUUAAUGAUAAAAUUGGAAUUUUUUCCCAAUUAAA
rnacentral:tRNA from 1 species